rnacentral:rRNA from 1 species
CGGUAAUUCCAGCUCCAAUAGCGUAUACUAAAGUUGUUGCAGUUAAAAAGCUCGUAGUUGGAUUUCUGCGGGGACGGAGCGGCCGGUCGCAACUUGCGACUCGAGCUAGCGCUUUCCCCGCAUCCUGCCGCGAACCGUGCUACCAUUAGUUUGGUGGCGCUGGGGAUCGGCUCGAUUACUUUGAGAAAAAUAGAGUGUUCAAAGCAGGCCACACGCCUUGAAUAAGUUAGCAUGGAAUAAUGACUAAGGACUUCGGUUCUAUUUUGUUGGUGUUCGGGACUGAAGUAAUGAUUGAUAGGGACAGUUGGGGCGGUCUGUAUUCCAAAGCGAGAGGUGAAAUUCUUAGACCUUCGGAAGACAAACAGCUGCGAAAGCGUUCCGCAAGGAUGUUCCCUUUGAUCAAGAACGAAAGUUGGGGGAUCGAAGACGAUCAGAUACCGUCGUAGUCUCAACUAUAAACUAUACCAGCUAGGGAUCGGUCAACGUUUAAUUAUUCGACUUGAUCGGCACCUUAUGAGAAAUCAAAGCAUCUGGGUUCCGGGGGGAGUAUGGUCGCAAGGCUGAAACUUAAAGGAAUUGACGGAAGGGCACCACCAGCCGUGGAGCCUGUGGCUUAAUUUGACUCAACACGGGAAAACUUACCAGGUCCAGACAUAGUAAGGAUUGACAGAUUGAUAGCUCUUUCUUGAUUCUGUGGGUGGUGGUGCAUGGCCGUUCUUAGUUGAUGGAGUGAUUUGUCUGGUUAAUUCCGUUAACGAACGAGACCCCAGCCUGCUAAAUAGCGCGGCUGAGCUUUGCUCGGUGCGAGCUUCUUAGAGGGACUAUGAUGCGCGAUAGCACAUGGAAGUUUGGGGCAAUAACAGGUCUGUGAUGCCCUUAGAUGUUCUGGGCCGCACACGGGCUACACUGGCGCCUGCAACGAGCAUAUCAGCUGGCCCGAGAGGGUCUUGGCUAAUCUUUUGAACCGGCGCCGUGCUUGGGAUUGACCUUUGCAAUUGUUGGUCAUGCAACGAGGAAUGCCUUGUAAACGCGAGUCAUCAGCUCGCAUUGAAUACGUCCCUGCCCUUUGUACACACCGCCCGUCGCUCCUACCGAUGAAUGUUCCGAUGAAAUUUUCGGAGAGCGCCAGAGAACGGGGCUCUGCCUUGCAGAUCUGGAGGCUCAAAGUCACUUAAAUCUGAACAUUUCGAGGAAGGAGAAGUCGUAACAAGGUAACC